GAAAUGCGAUAAGUAGUGUGAAUUGCAGAAUUCAGUGAAUCAUCGAAUCUUUGAACGCACAUUGCGCCCUUUGGUAUUCCAAAGGGCAUGCCUGUUCGAGCGUCAUUUGUACCCUCAAGCUUUGCUUGGUGUUGGGCGUCUUUUUGUCUCUCCCCUUGUUGGGGGAGACUCGCCUUAAAACGAUUGGCAGCCGACCUACUGGUUUUCGGAGCGCAGCACAAAUUUGCGCCUUCCAAUCCACGGGGCGGCAUCCAGCAAGCCUUUGUUUUCUAUAACAAAUCCACAUUUUGACCUCGGAUCAGGUAGGGAUACCCGCUGAACUUAAGC
rnacentral:misc_RNA from 1 species